rnacentral:rRNA from 1 species
GAUGAACGCUGGCGGCGUGCCUAAUACAUGCAAGUCGAGCGAACAGACGAGGAGCUUGCUCCACUGACGUUAGCGGCGAACGGGUGAGUAACACGUGGGUAACCUACCUAUAAGACUGGGAUAACUUCGGGAAACCGGAGCUAAUACCGGAUAAAAACUUUAACCACAUGGUUCAAUAGUGAAAGACGGUUUUGCUGCCAUUUAUGAAUGGAUCCGCUUAGAUUUACCAAGUUGGUAAGGUAACGGUUUACCAAGGGAACGAUGCUUAACGGCCCGGAGAGGUGGUCCGGCCACACUGGAACUGAGCAACGGUCCAGACUCCAACGGGAGGCACCAGUAGGGAAUCUCCCGCAAUGGGCGAAAGCUUGACGGAGCAACGCGGCGUGGGUGAUGAGGGUCUUCGGAUCGAAAAACCCUGUUAUUAAGGAAGAACAAAUGUGUAAGUAACUAUGCACGUCUUGACGGUACCUACUCAGAAAGCCACGGCUAACUACGUG